rnacentral:rRNA from 1 species
GUGCUUAAAAUGCAAGUCGAACGGAAAGGCCUGCACUUGCUGCGGGUACUCGAGUGGCGAACGGGUGAGGAAGCACGUGGGUGAUCUGCCUUGCACUUCGGGAUAAGCUUGGGAAACUGGGUCUAAUACCGGAUAGGACAGCUGUUUAGUGUCAGUUGUGGAAAGUUUUUUCGGUGCAAGAUGAGCUUGCGGCCUAUCAGCUUGUUGGUGGGGUAAUGGCCUACCAAGGCGUCGAGGGGGUACCGGCCUGAGAGGGUGUACGGCCACAUUGGGACUGAGAUACGGCCCAGACUCCUACGGGAGGCAGCAGUGGGGAAUAUUGCACAAUGGGCGGAAGCCUGAUGCAGCGACGCCGCGUGGGGGAUGAAGGCCUUCGGGUUGUAAACUCCUUUCGACAGGGACGAAGCGUAAGUGACGGUACCUGUAUAAGAAGCACCGGCUAACUACGUGCCAGCAGCCGCGGUAAUACGUAGGGUGCGAGCGUUGUCCGGAAUUACUGGGCGUAAAGAGCUCGUAGGUGGUUUGUCGCGUCGUCUGUGAAAUUCCGGGGCUUAACUCCGGGCGUGCAGGCGAUACGGGCUGACUUGAGUGCUGUAGGGGAGCACUGGAAUUCCUGGUGUACCGGUGAAAUGCGCCGAUAUCCAGGAGGAAAACCGAUGGCGACAGCACAGGGUCUACUGGGGCAGUAACUGGAAACAUGAAGGAGACGAAAAACAGCACAUGUG